rnacentral:rRNA from 1 species
AGAGUUUGAUCCUGGCUCAGAAUCAACGCUGGCGGCGCGCCUAACACAUGCAAGUCGAACGAGAAAGUGGAGCAAUCCAUGAGUACAGUGGCGUACGGGUGAGUAACACGUGGGUAAUCUACCCUUUGGUGGGGAAUAACUCUGGGAAACCGGAGCUAAUACCGCAUAAUCCCGAGAGGGAAAAGCAGCAAUGCGCCGAAGGAGGAGCCCGCGGCCGAUUAGCCAGUUGGUAGGGUAAUGGCCUACCAAAGCAAAGAUCGGUAGCCGGCCUGAGAGGGCACACGGCCACACUGGCACUGAAACACGGGCCAGACUCCUACGGGAGGCAGCAGUGGGGAAUCUUGCACAAUGGGGGAAACCCUGAUGCAGCGACGCCGCGUGAGCGAUGAAGCCCUUCGGGGUGUAAAGCUCUUUCGGCAGGGAAGAUUAUGACGGUACCUGCAGAAGCAGCUGCGGCUAACUACGUGCCAGCAGCCGCGGUAAUACGUAGGCAGCAAGCGUUGUUCGGAGUUACUGGGCGUAAAGGGUGUGUAGGCGGCUUUUUAAGUUUGGUGUGAAAUCUCCCGGCUCAACCGGGAGGGUGCGCCGAAUACUGAGAGGCUAGAGUGCGGGAGAGGAAAGUGGAAUUCCUGGUGUAGCGGUGAAAUGCGUAGAUAUCAGGAGGAACACCGGUGGUGUAGACGGCUUUCUGGACCGUAACUGACGCUGAAACACGAAAGCGUGGGUAGCAAACAGGAUUAGAUACCCUGGUAGUCCACGCCCUAAACGAUGCAUAUUUGGUGUGGGUCAUUCAGUUGAUCCGUGCCGGAGCUAACGCGUUAAAUAUGCCGCCUGGGGAGUACAGUCGCAAGGCUGAAACUCAAAGGAAUUGACGGGGGCCCGCACAAGCGGUGGAGCAUGUGGUUCAAUUCGACGCAACGCGAAGAACCUUACCUGGGCUCGAACGGCUGGUUAACGGCGGUGGAAACAUCGCUACCCCGCAAGGGGGUCCAGUCGAGGUGCUGCA